GCCCGGCCCAGCGCCCAGCCCGGCAGGCGGCGGGCGGCGGCGGGCGACGGGCGACAGGCGCAGGAGCAGGAGGAGGGGGAGCCGCGCCGCCUGGGAGGGAAGCCGGAGCGAGGCGAGGAGGUGGCGGGAGGAGGAGACAGCGGGGAAAGGUGUCAGAUAAAGGAGGGCUCUCCUCCCGAGCGGAGGCAUCAUGGCCGCUAAAUCAGACGGGAGGCUGAAAAUGAAGAAGAGCAGCGACGUGGCGUUCACCCCGCUGCAGAACUCGGACCACUCGGGCUCGGUGCAGGGACUGGCUCCGGGCUUGCCGUCGGGGUCGGGAGCCGAGGACGAGGAGGCGGCCGGGGGCGGCUGCUGCCCGGACGGCGGAGGCUGCUCGCGCUGCUGCUGCUGCUGCGCCGGGAGCGGCGGCUCCGGGGGCUCGGGCGGCUCCGGCGGCGGCGCUGGCGGCUCGGGCGGCGGCGGGGCGGGCUCGGCGGCGUUGUGCCUGCGCCUGGGCAGGGAGCAGCGGCGCUACUCACUGUGGGACUGCCUCUGGAUCCUGGCCGCUGUGGCCGUGUACUUCGCGGACGUGGGCACGGACGUCUGGCUCGCGGUGGACUACUACCUGCGCGGCCAGCGCUGGUGGUUCGGGCUCACGCUCUUCUUCGUGGUGCUCGGGUCGCUGUCGGUGCAAGUGUUCAGCUUCCGCUGGUUUGUGCACGAUUUCAGCACCGAGGACAGCGCCACCGCCGCAGCUGCCUCCAGCUGCCCGCAGCCUGGAGCGGAUUGCAAGACGGUGGCCGGCGGUGGGUCUGCAGCCGGGGAAGGCGAGGCUCGUCCUUCCACGCCGCAAAGGCAAGCAUCCAACGCCAGCAAGAGCAACAUCGCCGCGGCCAACAGCGGCAACAACAGUAGCGGGGGUACCCGGGCUAGUGGCAAUCACAGAUCUGCGUCCUGUUCCUUCUGCAUCUGGCUCCUGCAGUCACUCAUCCACAUCUUGCAGCUCGGGCAAAUCUGGAGAUAUUUCCACACGAUAUACUUAGGUAUUCGAAGCCGACAGAGUGGGGAGAAUGACAGAUGGAGGUUUUACUGGAAGAUGGUCUAUGAGUAUGCGGACGUGAGCAUGCUGCAUUUGCUAGCCACCUUUCUGGAAAGUGCUCCGCAGCUGGUCCUACAGCUCUGCAUUAUCGUACAGACUCAUAGCUUACAGGCCCUCCAAGGUUUCACAGCGGCAGCCUCCCUCGUGUCCUUGGCCUGGGCCUUGGCUUCCUACCAGAAGGCCCUCCGGGACUCUCGAGAUGACAAGAAGCCCAUCAGCUACAUGGCCGUCAUCAUCCAGUUCUGCUGGCACUUUUUCACCAUUGCUGCCCGGGUCAUCACGUUUGCCCUCUUUGCCUCGGUUUUCCAGCUGUACUUUGGGAUCUUCAUUGUCCUUCACUGGUGCAUCAUGACCUUCUGGAUCGUCCACUGUGAGACAGAAUUCUGUAUCACCAAAUGGGAAGAGAUUGUGUUCGACAUGGUGGUGGGGAUUAUCUAUAUCUUCAGUUGGUUCAAUGUCAAGGAAGGCAGGACACGCUGCAGGCUAUUCAUUUAUUAUUUUGUGAUCCUUUUGGAAAAUACGGCCUUGAGUGCCCUCUGGUACCUCUAUAAGGCUCCCCAGAUUGCAGACGCAUUUGCCAUCCCAGCGCUGUGUGUGGUAUUCAGCAGCUUUUUAACUGGCGUUGUGUUUAUGCUGAUGUAUUAUGCCUUCUUUCAUCCCAAUGGACCCAGAUUUGGGCAGUCACCAAGUUGUGCUUGUGAGGACCCAGCCGCUGCCUUCACUUUGCCCCCAGACGUGGCCACAAGCACCCUACGGUCCAUCUCCAACAACCGCAGUGUUGUCAGCGACCGCGAUCAGAAAUUCGCAGAGCGAGAUGGGUGUGUACCCGUCUUUCAGGUGAGGCCCACUGCCCCAUCCACCCCAUCAUCUCGCCCACCACGGAUUGAAGAAUCAGUCAUUAAAAUUGACUUGUUCAGGAAUAGGUACCCAGCAUGGGAGAGACAUGUGUUGGACCGAAGCCUCCGAAAGGCUAUUUUAGCCUUUGAAUGUUCCCCAUCUCCUCCGAGGCUGCAGUAUAAAGACGAUGCCCUCAUUCAGGAGCGGUUGGAGUACGAAACCACUUUAUAAAGCAAAAGGAGUUGCAGGAGCCACAACAUCCAGAUGAAGGGGUGACAGCGGGGCUGUGGCAGUAAUGACACUUCAUCCUAGAGCAGGGCAGUGAGCUGUGAAGUUUCUAGUGUGACCGUCAUCACCAUUAUCAUUUGAUCCUGUCAACUGGGAGCGGCUGGCCUCCUUCCAAAGCAGCUGCACCCAAGAGUCUGAUUCCAUCUGAAAGAAUGUCGCUGCCUUUGUAGGACUCUCCAUCGCUACCAAACUCCUCCUGCACGGUCUUGGGGUGCACCUACCAGAGGGUACUAUUAUAAUGGAAAAUUUUGCCUCCAAUCAUUAGGGUGUCUUGAUGGUGUUAACUGAUGUUUCCAUAAUAGAUUCAGUCUAGCCGGGCAUGGUGGCACGCGCCUGUAGUCCCAGCUACUCUGGAGGCUGAGGCAGGAGAAUCACUUGAACCCGGGAGGCAGAGGUUGCAGUCAGCUGAGAUCAUGCCAUUGCACUCCGGUUUGGGCAACAGGAGCGAAACUCUGUCUCAAAAAAAAAAAAAAAAAAAAAAGAUUCACUCAUGCACACAUACACACACUAACACAAAUAACACCAGUCCUCUGUCAAAAUAGCUUAGGUGACUUUUCUUCAUGCAAAGCUCUGAUUUCCACAGGAAUAUAAAAACAAAGAAAGAAUAUAUCCCAUGAGAAAAAAAAAUAGUACUGCUUAGAAAAGAAUUCACAAACCAUUUUCUCAUUUGGAAAUCCAUACCAUGUGUGAAAAUCCUAUCCAAUGAACAGCAAACCCAAAUGUUGUUUACACGUAUGUUAGCAUUGAUGGAAUGGUUCAUUUUCUACGUGUUUCAGGAUUUGUUUUAUAUUUUAAAUUUUCAGUUGAGAGCAUCGUUUUUGACAGAAAUCCUAUGCAGCCCACGUACGGCUUUGGACAAGACCAAGGAGCUCAGAAACUUCGUGAUGUAAAUUAAAUAGUAAUCAUGAUUCAGUAUUCAAUUGCAAAAAUGUAAUAGGUCUACAAAGAGGAAGUGGGGAAAAGGCUAAAUGAGAGUCUGAUUCCCAGGCAUGUGCAGCUCCCACUGGGACUUCACAGUAGAGCAGCGCAAGCCAGAGGGAUGGGCUGGAACCAGAUCUGUUUCCAGACGCAGAAUGAGUGGCUCUGUGUGACCAUAGGCAGACACGACUCUGGAGGACGCCAUGCCACUCCUUUCUAGUGCCAAACACCGUCCAACCACAGGACUGAUGUGGAAGCCCUGAACAACUGAGGAUGAGUAGUGUGAGCCCCCUAAAAGCAGGAGAGAGAACGAACAAUCACGUUCUCCACUGUGUACAGACUUUCCCUCCCCUCAAUCCAAGGUCAAAGUGAUGUGUCUUUUAAAGGCUUUGGGACACAUUUUAGUAAGUAUGAGCAGACAAAUGCAAUCAAUAGGUUACGAAAAAACCCUUCUGAACUGAUAGAGGGCUUAUCACUAUAUCCAGCUAAGAUUUGUAUUUGACUCAUCUGUAAAGCCGCACUCUUACAACAAGCUUCUGGGUUUUAAAUACCUCCGUACAGCAAGUAAACGUCCCCCGCUUUCUGUUCUCAGCGCCCUCCGUCAUGGUGCUUUUCGUUGCAUUAAAAGUGCCGGUCAAACUUUGAUAGUAUUUUUUUAUAGUUGGUGCAGAGUGGAACAACUCAUGGAUUAUUUCAAUAUUUUUGUAAUAAAAAAUAUAGGGUAUACACAUAGGCAUCAUCACUUUUUUUACAGACCUGGAAUCGUUUAAAAUACUUUAAGCAUCAUAAUCACUUGGGAUGUCAGAAACUGGUCCACAAAUUCCAUCAGCCUGCCUCAGCAGAUUGAAAACAUUUGUCUCUUGCAAGAUCACCCUACUUUGCAAGUUGGUGCCCCCAGGAACCUGGCCAGGGGUGCUAUCAGACUAUCAGGUGAAGAGAGAAUCAGCUUAAAUAGAAAGGGCUUGUCAAGACUGGCCAAUGUUUCCCAGGAAAUCAAAGAUGUCAAUGAUUACUUUCAUCCAUCCAUUAUAACAACCUGACCACAGUGGAAGAUGUCUUAAACUUCCUUCCCUGGUUUUAUAUUAACCCAACUGAUAGAUUAAGUAUUAGUCAAACCACUAAAAAAUAAAAAGAAAGUUUAACUUAAUUAUUCAGUUAUUUGGACUAAUUCCCAUAAAGUAGUCCAGUUCUCUAGCUACCACCUGUAAUGGGUGUGUCAUCCAGAGACUGUGUCCCCACGAUGACAUCCACAGGAAGUAACAGAGGGCUCAACCUGGGACUUCUUUUGGUGCAAAGCCCCAGAGCAAUUUUUUUUUUAAAUAGACAAUUUUUAUAAGUAGACAUACUUCCUAAUACUCCAUGAUUUGAUCCUCCAAGCAAGAUUUUCACUAAAAAAUACUAACCUUUUGUUGGGAUGUGGAAAGAUUACGUAGUCACCAGUAAAGGCCCAAGAGAAGGCUCUUCCUGUCAGCGCAUGGUGAAAACAUUCCGCCCUCCCAUUGUAGAAGGAAAAAAAUGAUGAUUUUGGCAAAUUCUUCACUUUUGUGCAGAACCUUGAGUUAUUAGCGUCAUUGUUUCCAAGACAACUUUUAACUGAUGAUCUUUGGAAAUUGAGUUUCUCAGUUGAACUGUAAACCUUUGAUUCUAUGAGUAAAUCACAGAUUACAAUCUAGUAGAGUCAAUCAACCAACACAAACCCAACAGGCCCCAUCAUGCUUCAAUCAUGUAAGUUCUAAGUUAUUUCUCAACUUGAUCCCUCUGUUAAGAGUCAGAAUGAGUACUAUGUCAAUUUUAAAUCUGUACUGUUCUUUGAGUUGCAGGUGAGAUUGGCAGGAAGGAGAAUGUAGGGAGGUUGAAUUUUUCAGUGAUUUUCCAAAUACUGUAAAUACUCUGUUAUCCAGCAUACCUGAAGAUGAUGAUGUUUUAGUGAGGCAUGAAUUCUUGUUAAGGGAAGAACAUAUCCACCGUGCGAUGAAUCUCAACCUUUCAAAAGAUUACAGGAGCAACCUACUCUAGAGAAACAUCUUGGAGCUUGUCAAGCUUUACUGGAGGUGAUUUGCAGUUAACUAAUUCAACAGACACUUUAAUCUUGCAAAUUCUUGACUUGCAAUAUUGUAACCAAGCUCCUGCCAGGGAACAUUAAUCAGUGAGUGGAAAAGGAGCACUUCCAUUCAGCCUCAGCGGUAGUUCCACCACGUGCCCAGGCCUGAAGAAAGACCUCUGUGAAGCGGAGCCUGGUGAAUUCCUGCUACCUGCUUCUCCGGCUCAUGCUAUGAAUAUUCAUCUGCUUCCUUUGUUUUUUCCAGUAAGCGCUGUUUUGGAUAAAAAGAAAAAAAAUUCCUGGGGCUUGCAUAGCUCAGAGAAUGGGGUACUCCCGCCUUGGAGACUUGCUUUAAAUGGAUUCAAAUCCACAUGUUUGGAAGUGAAAGUCAUGUCAUCUGUGGAAUAACUGACCUGAGUACAGUUGCUGCUUUUAUUUCGUUUCUUGAGACUACCAUUUUCAGCGUCGUGAUAACCAAUUUGUAAAAAUUGAGUUUUUAUUUAAUUUCAGGGGUAAAAUCUGCAUGGGUGUAGCUACUGAAUAAUUUGAUUCCUGCCUUCCUAGGUGGUGACAUGAGCAGUUCCAACCCGAGAUCCAUUUCUGUGUGGAAUCGGCUAUCCUGUUGCUUCUCAGCCCUGCAAAACCUUGGUUGCGAGCUCAAAGAUCACAAAUCCGAUGUUCUUAAUGACGAAAUUUUCACUUAGAGGGAAACAGGUCGUCUCUUAAUUUUAAGACAUGGUUCUUUCUCCCUUGUUUCUGUUUUUUUUUUUUUUUUCUUCAGAGCAAGAUUUGAGUUGCAAGAUAAGAGUGAGGUUAUCAGGUCAUAAUUUCAGAGUAUAUGAGAGAGUGAGGCCUCCAGAUGUUCUUGUAAAGUUUUCUGUCUAAUCUUUUGGUAUAACAAUUUCAGGAGUUAGCCCCAGAUGAAAGAGUAGACGUCAUCAGAUUUUUCAACAAGCAGAUUGAGAAGAGGCAAGGAUUUUCUUGUGUUUCAUAGAUGCUUCUCCUCCCUAAGCUGUCACGUUGGUGGUCAUCACCAAGACAUAUAAUAGCAAGGACUACUGAAUGAAUGAUCCUCCUAGUUAUCGGCCCUAGUAUCACAGCAAGUCUGUUUUUAGAACUAGCUCUUGGCACAAGCACCGAAAUAAAAUUGGGGGAGAAAGCGGUCUACCAUCAUGUGACUUAUUUUCAAUUGCCAGGCAGUGAAAAGUAACAAGUUAAAAAAAAAUGUUCAUUUUCUGAAUCCCAGAGUCCACAUAGGUACAAUGAUACUGUAAUAUGCAAUGAGGCGGCCAAUCGUGGGGAUAUAGGAGCUAUAGACAGCCCUCUGGAGCAAGGUUUAUGGGUAACAGUUACUCUGCGUGAUUGGGUGUUGGGUCAGAGGGUUUCUAUUAAUGUAGAGGACCAAGUAUAGUGAUGAAGAGAAAACCUGCCAGUGGUUCAUCCAAAGUAUUUGCCUUUUCAAAGAGCAGAGAAGUUCAAGAUAGUCACUGCCAGUCCAUAACUAACAACAGACAUAUACCCUUUGGGAAGGCCAGGGCCUGACCCAAGUGGGAAGAUAGUCUAAGACUGGUGGUGACAUGUCUAAGACUGACGCUCUCAUUAAGAGAACUCAUUCCCUCCGACAGGGCUCCUUGACCACUGGCCCCUGUGGGCUCUGCAGGAGAGCUUCUGAUGGGUUCUAAGAUAAGGCAUUUUAAGGUAUUGUAAGUCACUCUUGUUUGUAGAGCAUGAAUCAUUUAACCAUCCCUCCUUUUAAGAGCAAAGAGAUUCAGGGUUACCAUGGCCUUACUCAUCUUCCCACUGUAAAUAUAUCACCAUGUCACAAGAGCCUCUGUGUCCAAACGUACUAAACUGGGUUUACAAGCAUUCGAAUCUUUCACUCAUACCGUGACUCUCAAUUGUGCCAGUCACCUAGUCUAUCUUCCCAAACUGGAAAAGAAUAAUUUUUGUGAAAAUAAUUUUCAGAAUAAUGGAAGUGGAAAGAAAUAGAGAGUUAAGCAAUUUUUCAACAUAGACAAAAACCACUGGACCAUUGAUAGCCCUCAAGCUCUGAUUUUUCCUCCUAAGAUUCUUUUCUUUUGAGGGCUUUCAACACCUGAAUUUUCCAGAUGAUUGCUAAACCAUCUUCACUAAACCAAAGUAGAUGAGGUGUUAAUAAAAAAUAAAGGCCGUCCGCAUGACUGUAAAUACUGCAAUGAAAAGUGGCGAAGUACGUCACCCAAGUGGCAAGUUUGGUCUUCAUGAUAUCAAACAUAUGGAUAUUUGGAAAAGUCAAGAUGUUUGAAGCACACAGUUUUCUAUCUGGGUGUCUGCUGUCGUUCUGGUUAGACAGACUGCUCGGGUAUUGUGAGUAAUGGAACUGAACUUUCUCAUGCAGUAAGCAACUGCUGGUCCUGUUCUGCUGCUCAAAGUCUCUCUGUUGUGCAAAGAGCAACCAAUGCAGAGCAAAUGUUAUUUAAUUGUUAUUUACUUUCGACAAACACAUAAAUGGAAGAGGUCAGGCAGGCUGUCCUGGGUGUUCUGGGCCUGGCUGAGGUACACCCUCCUUCACUCUGCCCCUGCCAGGGAAGAAACUUUCUAUUCAGUCUUUGCCAUCUUUUAUAAAUUUUAUCAUUGCUCUUCUGCUGUUCCUAUCAUCUUAGUUAUUCACAAAGUCUACUUGAUAAAAUGGCUUGAAGGAAAUAUAAAUUUGUUAAGUUUUUGUUCUUCAAAUAGAAGUUUUAAUUUUAAGCAUUCCUUAUGAUAUUUUUUAAGCCUAGAAACAGUUCAAACUGCUUGACAAAAUUAUUUCAUGGUGAAUUUUAUGGUGUUGAUAGAAGUAAAAGCUAUUUUUCCCAAACAAAAUACCGUACAUAGUUUUUUGGGUUUCGUUUGUUGAUGUCAUGCCAAUUUUCAGGCACCAACUGGUUACCACAAAUAUGGGAAUAUUUAGCGAUUUCUUUGUAGUCAUUAAAAUUCCUGGGGAAAAAGAAAAAAUUUACAUCAAAGGAAAAUUCAGCUCCCAGAAGUUUGAAACGUUCAUCCUGACUCUUCCAUUCCCGAUUAUUUGGGGACACUUCUUCGUUGUGACAGUAAGAAGUCGAUCUUGUUUCUCCUGAUUUGACACUGGGUUGGUGAGCAUUGUGGCAAAUUUUGUGCUAACCCCAUUUACAACCCUGAAGCUUAGCGGAAAAACAGGUAAACCAUUCAGACCCGUUUCUUUAAGAGCACUUUUGCCGCAGAACUUGAUACAGAUGAUUGACCAUGAGUAGGCACACAGAGAAUGGAAAGGUAUUCAGCUAUGCAAAGAUAGUGAAGGGAUUUCCAGAGAAAACCUAAACGUUUUGAAGAUCUGUAGGUAGGGUUUUGAUUGUGUCACAUUCUACACUCAGUGCCAAGUUACAAUGACUUUAUGGGGAAGGCAAUAAAAUUCCUUUUUGGGGCCUUUCUUCCCUCACAUGCAGAAUGUUUUCAUGAAAGCAAAUGGAUCCUCCACUUUGUGUAGCAAGGAACCCCCCUCAUGCCCCACAGCAUCAUCAGUGGCAGUCCCAUAGCAGAUGUGUGUACCAGCCCAAUUCAGUUUUGCUUUUCUUUUUAACUGAGAUCUUUAUUUCACCAAAUCCCAUUUCAAGUUACCAACAGGAUGCUUAGUUGAAUCAGCAACGAGGUGACAAUCAAUUGGCCUCCACAAAAGUAUGAGUCGUUUUAUUCCGUGAUCUUUGGUAGUGUGAUAAUCAACGGAAUUUAUGGUUUCGUAGAAAACCAAAAAUCCCUGUGUUGAAUAUAGUGACUGUCUUAAAUAUACUUAAAUAUCUUAUUCUACAAAACACUAUCCUUUUACACUGUGGGAUGGAUUCCUUUCUGGAUGCAGGGAUGGGAGGGGCUCUGGGUCAGUGAUUGGGACACAGGAACUGGGAAUCUCUGCACACCUGAUCCGCAAUCCCUGGUCCAUCUCUCCAGCCUCGAAAACUCACCCUCGGCCUCAUUUUUCCCAUAUGCAAAAGAGAGAUAUUUAUUUACCUACCUCAUAGGGGUGUUGUAGAGAUUUGCUAGAGUUGCUAAAGUGCUUGUAGGUUAGAAAGCGCUGUCAUUCCUGAGAACUGGCAUUAACAGAGGAGAGCUGUGCACAGCGCAGGGUAACUGGAGUCUGAGGAACACAAUAGCAAUAACUCGCCAAGCAGAGAAUACGAUGGUUCUUCACCACUAUGUAAAACUAACGCUUUUCCUUCAAAGGUCUAUGUAUAAUUUUCUUCAAUGAUUAGCUUUUUAAUGAGAUAACUCCCUUUUGUCCCGACAUUGAGAGGCUUCAUAUAAAUUGACCAUUUUCCUCUGAACCAAACUGAAUUUUACUAAAUGUUGAUUAAAAUGCAUCCAGAAAACUUGUCUCCUCCUGAUGCCUGGGGGAUUUGCAUGCCUGAUCCCAAGCUGCUUUUUUCAGAAUGCAUGCAUGAUGCCCCGGUUCGGUACUCAUGAUCACCAGGUGGCGUUCUGAAAUCCACUACCCGGGGAAGAUUUUAAACAGAUAUUACUGAGAUGAGAGCUGGAGUCAUUUCCAGUGAGUUUCCUCUUCACCCCUAAGAUGACACAGCUUUACAACCCAAUAAAAGAACGUAAAGCCUUAUUUCCACCUGGAACUCCUGAAUUGAUUCCUUUUCAUGUUAUAACCACACUUCAAACAUUUUGGAGAAGCUUUUACAUAGGGCCUCAGCUAUAUAUUGAUAUCAAUGCGCUUACUUGUGCUUAGAUGGAAAUUCUACUCAACCAUAAAGGAGACAGUGAGAAAACAACGUCAGAGAAUAUUCCUGCAUAACUUCCCCAAGAGGUACAGUUUUCUUGUACUUAAAAGUUGAAUCCUGAUAAGAACUAAUGCUAAAUAACAUGAUUUCGGUUUAUAAAUAUUUGUAAUUUUUGAGACAGAGGCAAUAUUGCUAUAUAGGAAUACCCAUAAAACUAGACUAGCAAAGCAGAUGUUUUUAUGAUGUGGCUUUACGAGGCAAAGUUGUACAUCAAUAUUAUCAUUGUGCCUUUAUUUAGUGAUUAGAUUCCAUUGUGAAAAAAAAAAUUGCAUAGUCUUAGAAAUAGAAAGUGGGUUUUGGAAAGUUUACCUUGAGAAGUGGAUUCGAAAUCAUCUUGUGCUUAUAGCUGAAGAUUCAUAGUCAAUAAAAUCUCUUCUGGAUUCUAACAUAUAAUUGGCAGUGAUAUUUCAAAGCCUUAACAUUUUUAGAUGGUUAAUUAAACAUAUCUAAUGCAUGGUAUUACACUUUCUGAAGCAUGAAUUUAACCUAGGCAAUUAUCUGAUUUAUUUUUUUUAAGUUUGUGCUGCCAUGCCAGAUUGAAGUAUGCUUUUUGUAAACUAAUAACAUGAGAAUAGUGAGUCAAAAAAUAAUUGGGAUUGUCCUUUUCCCCCCGCCCAGUUCCUACUCUCAAUACUCUCCCAACCGGAAGUGCAACCGAAUAUCCUUUUUGCUAUGAAGGGAUAUACUGUGUUUUUAUUUGUUUUGCACAAGAAAACUGGUGUUGCCUAUUUGGACUAGAUACAGGAGCCACUUUGCAGGUGGGGUGACCAGGAUGGGAGGAAGAGAGCUGGGCGAAUAUGUCAUGGGAAGAUUUUACCACAAAGAGACAAAGCAGAAUUGUAGCGUGUUAGAGCUGGACAAUGCUUUGAAAUGAUAGAGUCGAGAUUCUUCACCAAACAGAUGAAAAGACAAGUGGAUACCACAGGUAAUUGAGAUAUAAGCUACACAUCUCAUCACUGGGAGAAAGGAGACUUCAGCCUCUUUUCAAGGCUUUCUAGACCACAUGGAACUCCCCAUUUCAGCAAAGAUUCACGUGGUUAUGCUGCUGAGGACCAGUCAUUCUGUAAACAUCACAUAUAUGAUGUUUUCUAAAUGUCUUAAUUGUUGUCAACAUUCAUAGCUACUUCCCAUUAACAUUCUAGUCCAUGAACAAGUGAUAGAAACAAUGGAAAUUUUCUUUUGAUCAAAAGAAGUGUCUCCCAAUUAAUUUAUGUCUGUUAGUACUCCUGACAUUUUUAUUGUCCUCACAAGAUUCCUUUUAUAUCUAGAUGCUAUCAGAUAAGAAAAGAAUGAAUCAUUUGAUCAAUUUCUUAUUGAAGAUCCCAUCUAAAGCCUUUCUUUGGUAAUGUGGGCAGAAAGAGACCAUAGCCAUUCUUGGAUGAGAACCUUGCCUCUACUAAAUAGAUUCUGCUUUCCUCUCAGUAGCCAGACAGCUCAAUAGCCUAGGGAGAGAUUAAAUGAAGGAUAUGCAAAUUAUGUUUUUCCCAUUCUCAGAACAAGACAGCAACCAAUGAGCCAGAGGUUCCUUUCCUCUUUAAAACCAAAUAGUACACUGAAUUUAGGGCUAUGACAAAAAUGUUGUUAAAGCAAGAGCAAAAUCAUCCUUCCUCUGGAUUCUUUUCUAUGUGUUGACUAAAUUCUUUUUGCAGUUUGGAUUGGAGCUUCUAGUAAUGAUAUUUAAUGUCAUUUUACAUUAAAGCUUCAAUGCAGAUAUGGUGUGAGCAUGAGUUACAAAUGAGAUGACUUCAUCUGUACUGACAUUCUACCAAGCUGACUGGAAACAAAUACCACCACCACUAACAUUCUGAUUUAAUUAAUAACACCUAGUAGAAAAAUGGAAGCAUCUUGCUUAGCACGAAACCACUGCACAAUAUAAACGUGCUCCCAAAUGGCAAGGAUUUUUCCUACCAACAUUUGUUCUUCGUUCUCCAAUUAUUUUAAGUAAAUAAGUUUCACAUCUAACUACCUCAACUACAGUCGUUUUAUUUAGAAACAUGAAACCAUGCACUAUGUAAUCAACAAGUUCUUUCAUUUAAAAUUUCAAAAGGAUACUUGGUGCAAAGCAAUUUUCAAAAAUUUGUACAUGAUAUACGCCACCCAACCUCAGGAGGUUGUCCUUAAUUUUGUUUGCUUGUUUCUAAGGUUGGUUUCGGGUUAAAUCCUCAUUUCCACUCAACACCAAGAUAAGCUGCUCUGUAUUUGCUUCAUUUGCCUUAAACAUUUGUGCUCCUUUCCCUGUUCAAUUAUUUUUGUUUUGUUUUGUUCUAAAUCUAUCUCUGAAAAAAAUGGAACAGGUGGCAGGUGAACAGCAAAUGGAAGAGACUGGACCAAUAAUUUCUCAGUCCCCUGUUGUCAACUAUCUGCAUGACAUUCUGAUUGUGCAAAAAUGCCAUUCCUGUGCUUCCCUCUCCAUUACAGAAAUAGGGUCUGCAAGACCCCACGUGUGUGCAUAGGGAACGGUGUAGACAUUUCCCCAGUAUGAGCACAGUGCCUGGACCCGAAUGCUCAUCUUGGCAGUUCUUGUGCUUUUACUUUGUAAACAUUGUACAAAUGUAUUUGGAGUUUUAUUUGAAAUGGAGACUUAAACUAGUUAUUAAAUUUGUUUCCUUCCUGUAAAUAUAUAUAUUCAAAUUCCAUGUAUCCAAACAUCCCUUUAGCGUUCAGAUUGUAAGUGUGUCUUUAUUCGCGGAGGCCACUGUCGGCCGGCAGUGACCCCCAGUGCCCUAGUUUGAAGCACAGUUCGUGGAGUAUUUGAUGUGCUACAGUACCAUAGUUACCUUGGUCUGUUAAGUAAGUUGCAAUUUGUGAUGAAAUGAAGUGGAAAGUAGUACUUCAUAAUGAACCAUUUUCCUUGGUUACAUGAUUUUUCUUGUAAAACUUAAAGGAAAAAAGGAAAACUUGAAAUUUUAUAUAUUUGGAUUUUGUAGGUUUUUUUUUUUUAUUUUAUUGCAACACAAGGUACCAAAAUCAUUAAAUAAAGUACACUGUGGUCAUUUUAA